UCUGGCUGCUCUAUCAGUCACCCCAUGGAUUCACUGAAUUGAUUCUAUUUAUCUGGCAGGCUGGACAGGUGUCUCCU
rnacentral:sRNA from 1 species